rnacentral:rRNA from 1 species
GUUGGUGGAGCGAUUUGUCUGGUUAAUUCCGAUAACGAACGAGACUCUAGCCUACUAAAUAGUUGGUGGAUCUUCUAGUCCACAAAACUUCUUAGAGGGACAAGCGGUUUUGAACCGCACGAGAUUGAGCAAUAACAGG